rnacentral:lncRNA from 1 species
AGCCGCAGGGAGGGUUGGGAAUCGGAUGAAGAACGAAGAAGGCACGAACGCGCGGGACGCGCGCCGAGAGUUCUCGGGCCAGUGGGUGGUGCCCGCGCCAUUGGCGCGCUCUGAAGCCCGGUUGCUUUGCGGGUCUCACCAGGGUCUGUGCACGUCUGCCUAGCUGUGUGUCGCUCUGUCUGCGUGUCGGCAUCUUAUCUCUGCGUUCCUCGUCCCGUUACGGUGUCUGUUUACAUCUGUCUCACGUGUCUUUACCCUUCUGUAUCUGUCUCCGCGCCAGGCCGCUGUGUCUCGGUGUGGUUGUGUUCCCCGAGUCUCGCGUAUUUCAGGCUUUCCUGGUGUGGUAGAGGGGUUUAGAAACGGCCUACGGGCGCUCCCCGAGGCGGACUCCCGGCUGCGAGGCCGGCUGCCGGCGCGGAAAUCCGGACUCAAAGCGCCCGCCGAGCGACGCAGCUUCCCCGCCUCGGAGGCCCGCGCUGCGCUCGCCGUGUAGGAGGAAUGAAUGGCAGCGUCGCGGUGACGCGGGGAAGCCCGGAGCGCCUGAGGACGCGGCGCGCGCUGCUGUGUGUCCCGAGGGAGUGGGGUGGGGGUGACGCAAGGUGCCCCCCGCCCUUAUUGCCGGGGACACGGAAGGGUCCCCCCACGCACCGAUGGGAACCCGCGCUCUUCUUCCUCCACCCUCUGUGCCCUCACCGCACCCCCGCUCCGGCCGGCCGUCAGCCACAGCGUCACCUGCCCGCUCGCAGGGGCUCUGGCGCAAUCCCUGGACGUGGAGGGGCGGGAUGUCGCCCGUGUGGCCACAGUGACGACAUCCCCGAGAAGCCAGCAGGAGGAAGGCUGAAGCUGGAGGCCGAGGACCAGGACAGGACAGAGGGAGCUCAGCGGCGGUAG